rnacentral:rRNA from 1 species
AGCAAACAGGAUUAGAUACCUGGUAGUCCACGCGUAAACGAUGAGUGCUAAGUGUUGGAGGGUUUCCCCCUUCAGUGCUGCAGCUAACGCAUUAAGCACUCCGCUGGGGAGUACGACCGCAAGGUUGAAACUCAAAGGAAUUGACGGGGGCCCGCACAAGCGGUGGAGCAUGUGGUUUAAUUCGAAGCAACGCGAAGAACCUUACCAGGUCUUGACAUCCUUUGACCACUCUAGAGAUAGAGCUUUCCCUUCGGGGACAAAGUGACAGGUGGUGCAUGGUUGUCGUCAGCUCGUGUCGUGAGAUGUUGGGUUAAGUCCCGCAACGAGCGCAACCCUUAUUGUUAGUUGCCAUCAUUCAGUUGGGCACUCUAGCGAGACUGCCGGUGACAAACCGGAGGAAGGUGGGGAUGACGUCAAAUCAUCAUGCCCCUUAUGACCUGGGCUACACACGUGCUACAAUGGGAAGUACAACGAGUCGCUAGGCCGCGAGGUCAUGCAAAUCUCUUAAAGCUUCUCUCAGUUCGGAUUGCAGGCUGCAACUCGCCUGCAUGAAGCCGGAAUCGCUAGUAAUCGCGGAUCAGCACGCCGCGGUGAAUACGUUCCCGGGCCUUGUACACACCGCCCGUCACACCACGAAAGUUUGUAACACCCGAAGUCGGUGAGGUAACCUUUUGGAGCCAGCCGCCUAAGGUGGGAUAGAUGAUUGGGGUGAAGUCGUAACAAGGUAACCAAGGGCGAAUUCUG